rnacentral:lncRNA from 1 species
UCUCUGAAAUAGAGAAGGAGGCAGGACUUAAAGCUCGCAAGUUUGACAGAGGUCCUGCCCCCUUUUAAACUUAGCAAUACAGCAGACCAACAACAAAAGAACUUCGCGCACAAACAA